rnacentral:rRNA from 1 species
UAGUCCACGCUGUAAACGAUGAGCACUCGCUGUAGGCGAUACACAGUCUGUGGCUGAGCGAAAGCAUUAAGUGCUCCACCUGGGGAGUACGUUGGCAACAAUGAAACUCAAAGGAAUUGACGGGGGCCCGCACAAGCGGUGGAACAUGUGGUUUAAUUCGAUGAUACGCGAGGAACCUUACCUGGGUUUAAAUUUAGAAUGACGAGUUUAGAAAUAGACUUUCCCUUCGGGGCAUUUUAGAAGGUGCUGCAUGGCUGUCGUCAGCUCGUGCCGUGAGGUGUCGGGUUAAGUCCCAUAACGAGCGCAACCCCUAUCGCUAGUUGCCAACGAGUAAUGUCGGGGACUCUAGCGAGACUGCCACCGUAAGGUGUGAGGAAGGUGGGGAUGACGUCAAGUCAGCACGGCCCUUACGUCCAGGGCUACACACGUGUUACAAUGGCCGGUACAAAGGGCAGCUACAUAGUGAUAUGAUGCUAAUCUCUAAACCCGGUCUCAGUUCGGAUCG